rnacentral:rRNA from 1 species
AGUGAACGCUGGCGGUAGGCCUAACACAUGCAAGUCGAACGGCAGCACAGUAAGAGCUUGCUCUUACGGGUGGCGAGUGGCGGACGGGUGAGGAAUACAUCGGAAUCUACUUUUUCGUGGGGGAUAACGUAGGGAAACUUACGCUAAUACCGCAUACGACCUACUGGUGAAAGCAGGGGAUCUUCGGACCUUGCGCGAUUGAAUGAGCCGAUGUCGGAUUAGCUAGUUGGCGGGGUAAAGGCCCACCAAGGCGACGAUCCGUAGCUGGUCUGAGAGGAUGAUCAGCCACACUGGAACUGAGACACGGUCCAGACUCCUACGGGAGGCAGCAGUGGGGAAUAUUGGACAAUGGGCGCAAGCCUGAUCCAGCCAUACCGCGUGGGUGAAGAAGGCCUUCGGGUUGUAAAGCCCUUUUGUUGGGAAAGAAGAGCAGCAGGUUAAUACCCCGCUGUUCUGACGGUACCCAAAGAAUAAGCACCGGCUAACUUCGUG